rnacentral:rRNA from 1 species
UACGGAGGGUGCAAGCGUUAUCCGGAUUCACUGGGUUUAAAGGGUGCGUAGGUGGGCAGGCAAGUCAGUGGUGAAAUCUCCGGGCUUAACCCGGAAACUGCCAUUGAUACUAUCUGUCUUGAAUAUCCUGGAGGUGAGCGGAAUAUGUCAUGUAGCGGUGAAAUGCUUAGAUAUGACAUAGAACACCAAUUGCGAAGGCAGCUCACUACGCGAAUAUUGACACUGAGGCACGAAAGCGUGGGGAUCAAACAGG